rnacentral:lncRNA from 10 species
AGUACCACAAGCUGGGUAUCUGAAAAUAACUGAAAUUUAUUCCCUCACAGUUCUGGAGAUUAGAAGUCCAAAAUCCAGGUAUUGACAAGGCCAUGGUCUCUCUGAAGGCUCUCUUGAAGAAUCUUUUCUUAUUUCUUCCCUGCUUUUGGUGAUUGCUGGCAAUCCUUGGCAUUUCUUAUAUCACUCCAAUCUCCGCUUCUGUCUUCACAUGGCUGCUUCUCUGUGUGUGUGUCCAUGUGUCCACAUUUAUCAUCUCUUACAGGGAUACCAAUCAUAGGAUUAGAGCUCAUAUUAAUCCAAUAUGGCCUUAUUUUGGCCAGAUUACAUAUGUAAAUAGUCUAUUUCCAAAUAACUUCACAUUUUGAGGUUCUGAGUGGACAUGAAUUUUAUGAGUACCCAUUUAACUAAGGACAAAGGGUGAGAGAACAUCUUGCUGAUGAGGUAAGACUGGUAUAUUGGCAUGUCAUUAAAUACUUUGUUAAGGAUAUCAAUUUGACAGAGGGCUCAAGAGUCUGUCUAGUAACAACAAAAAUAUAGAUAUCAGAAUCUUCAUGAUGUAUGUCAGUUUCUAAAGGAUUCCAGAAUCUGCAGAAGAGCAGAUGGAAUGAAACCACCAAGCCUCGUUUAAUUGAUUCACUAAGAGUACUUAUUUUUUUUUUAUUUUUGGAAAAUAACUUCUUUGAUUCAGCAUGUCUGUGAAACUCACCCAUGCCAUCUGGAAAGGAAAAAGUUAAGUUGCAUUUCUGCAAUACAUUCUCUCCCUUCCCUGAGCUGCUCCUGGAAUAUAAAGAAAGCAAGUGAGUUGAACUAAUCCUCUUAUAAACAUACUAAUGAUAAAUCUCCCAGUAAAACAACAACAAUAACAAUAAAGGUCUUCUGCUAACAAAAGAGUCUUUUCCUAUGUGAAGUUUUAGUAGAAUGUGCUUAAUUGUCUAGAAUUAUUUAUAGUAAGCAAACAGAAGUAUAUGGACUUACGCAUAAUGGCUCCUUGGAAAAUGUUAUAUUAUAUAUGUAACUCUUUCUGUAGAAAAUAUCUGUCUCCUUUCAUGAAAGUGAGGUGCCUGCAUACCUCAUAGAAAGCUUAUCUGUUCACUUGGGCCAGAAAUGUCUUUGAUAUUGUGUGAUAGGACUUAGAGAACUGAAAUAAACACAGACAUUCUGACCUCACCUUUCCUUACCUGUGCCUCAUGAUUCCAUGUGACUUUGAAAUUGUUAGUAAAACUUGAUACUGGAAACUUCUUGACUUUUUUCUAAUAACACAGCUUAAAACCCAAACACAUUGUACAGCUGUACAAAAACAUUUGCUUUAUGUCCUUAUUCUAUAAGCUUUUUUCUAUAUUUAACAUUUUAAUUUUUUUUUUUUAUAAAACUUUUGUGUUAAAAACCAAGACACAAACACGCAUGUUAGCCUAGGACUGCUCAGGAUCAGGAUCAUCAAUAUCACUGUCUUCCACCUCCAUAUCUUGUCCCACUGGAAGGUCUUUAAGGGCAAUCACACAUGAAGCUGUCAUCUCCUAGUAUAAUAAUGCCUUCUUCUAGAACACCUCAUGAAAGAACUGUUUGAGAAUGUUUUGCAGUUAACACCUUUCUUUUAUAGUUCAAGGAGUACACUUUUAAAUAAUGAUAAAAUUAUAGCAUAGUAAAUACAGAAACCAGUAACAUAGUUAUUAAUUAUCAUUGAGAAGUAUUAUGUACUGUACAUAAUUGUAUGUACUAUGCUUUUAUUCGAUUGGCAGUACAAUAGGUUCAUUUACACCGGCACUACCAAAAACACGUGAGUAAUGAGUUGCGAUAUGACUUAGGAUGGUUACCGCAUCACUAGGUGAUAGGAUUUUUUUAGCUUCAUUAUAAUCUUAUAGGGCUACCAUCAUAUAUGUAGUUUAUUAUUAGUGAAAACAUCAUCAUGUGGUGCAUGACUAUGUAUAAUUUUAUGUACCACUUGCUGUGAAUUAUCAUUAAUUUUUGUGAUGAGCACUGAAGCAGGAAAUAAAAAUUGAGUUUGGCUGAGCAUGGUGGCACGCGCCUGUAGUCCCAGCAAUCCAGGAGGCUGAGACAGGAGGAUCCCUUGAGCCCAGGAGUUUUAGUCCAGCCUCAGCAACAUGACAAGACCCGCAUUUGAAAUAAUAAUAAUAAUAGUAAUAUUAAUUGAGGUUGUAAGAUAUUCAAAAGGCAACAGCCUUAAAAUCACCUUAUACUCUGUUCUUUUUUAGGGAAAUAUUUACUGGGCCUUCAGCUUUCUGUACUACUUCGGAACAGCACUAGCAUCUAUCUCAGGGUUUAAAAUAUGGAAGUUCUUGCCUUCCUUGAAUCUUUUCUCCCAGAAAUAACAUAUUGGCUCUCUUCCCUGUGACAUGCCUCAUCUGACAUUGGCUGGCUUUCAUAUAAAACCUUUGUUUUAGCCUACUAUCAAUUCAACUUUUACAUUGACAAAACGUAAUUUUUGGUUGUCAAUGUAAAAGUUGACAUUUUUACAUUCAACUUUAAUUUAAAUGCUGAAUUUAAAUUUAAAUGCUGAAAAUUUAUUUAAACACUUAAAAUGAUAUUAGAAGAGGUAUUUUAUGUUUUUAAACAGAGAUAUAUUUCAUUUUUAUAUGCAGUCAACAGAUCACAUGUGUAUGUCUCUUAUGUGUUCCUGUGUGGGAAUAGCUUGAAUUACUACAUAAGUUCUCUGAGAAUAUUAAGUUCAUUUAGGGGAACAGGACAUAUCUAUAUGAAAAACAGAAAUAAUACUACAAACAAAAGAGAGAUCACGAGAUAACAUGUAAUUAAUUCUCAGUGAAUGACAUGUCAUGAAAUCAUCAGAAGAGAUGAGGAUAUGGGAAAAGCUUUAUGAAAGUAGUCAGAACCAUAAGGAAGAUUCGGUUUUGUUAAACAGAAAGACCUUUUUCCAUUGUGGUAUUAAGUUUAAUAUGAUUUUCAUUGUAUUAAAAUACUAAUGCAGUAAGUUGAAAAUAUAAUUGCAUUCUUUUCAUUUAAUCUAUUGUAAAAUAUAUAAUCAAAAUGAUAUACUUGUAAAAUAAUUACAUAUAUAAUAAAAUCAAUAUACCUG